GGGGAUAUGGCUUAAUGGCAUAGCAGAUGCUUUGCAUGUAUUUGGUUGUUGGUUCGAUCCCAACUAUCUCCA
rnacentral:tRNA from 1 species